rnacentral:tRNA from 1 species
GCGGGAGUGGCGGAACUGGCAGACGCGCUAGGUUCAGGACCUAGUCCUCGUUAAGGGGGUGGGGGUUCAACUCCCCCCUCCCGCA